rnacentral:rRNA from 1 species
CACGUAGGAUUCGAACGUUAUCCGGAUUUACUGGGCGUAAAGCGCGUGCAGGCGGUUUGGUAAGUUGGAUGUGAAAUCAUCAGGCUCAACCUGGUGAUGUCGUUCAAUACUGCCAGACUAGAGGACGGUAGAGGGAGGUGGAAUUCCGGGUGUAGUGGUGAAAUGCGUAGAUAUCCGGAGGAACACCAGUGGCGAAGGCGGCCUCCUGGGCCGUUCCUGACGCUCAGACGCGAAAGCUAGGGUAG